CACUCCACGCCUCUGUCCACAUUUUGGGCUUGUAAGGUCUGUUUGGCAAAAAUGAAUCACAAUAGAAUCCAUUGCAUGCAUUUAUAUGUUGUGAAGAUGAAACAAGAAACAACUUACACUUUGCAUAUUGAGUCCAAUUUGUAGCUUAUUGACGUAGAACCUCUCACAGUGACUUUUAAUCAAUAGAGAUGAUGACAACAUGAAAAUCAAUUGAACAAAAAGGAAACUGAUGUUAGAUCUGAUGUGUUGCAGGGGGCCUUCUCUCUGUCCUGUUUAUUGCAACCACCAUUUAAAGCUAAUAAAAAAACAUCGGAUAAAUGACAGCAUAGGUGGAACAAGAAAUCACUUUGCAUAGAUAAAUGGUGUUCAACUGAAGUAGCUGUGGCCUGUGAUUCUACAUGCAUAAACACAAGAUAUAGCUGACGUGGAAGCUCAUGGUUACCAGUAAGAUGCGCAUACUGCCUUGGAUUACAGCUUUUUUACAGGCCUCUAGAGCAGCCUGCGAAGAGUUUUCCCCUUUUAAACCCUCCUUUGCGUAGAUUGGAAUUUUGUAAGAGGAUCUGCCAGUACAAUAGACUAUGAAUAAUUUCCAAUCAUUUUUCUUAAAAGUAAAUAAGAAUUCAAAUUGUUAAGAUAAAAAAAGAUCCUAUAGAAAUGUUUUAAUUGAUAAAAUCAUGUAGUUAAAGAGAAGAUCCCAUAAAAAUGUUCUAGAUUUGAGCAGAUGGCACAAUAAAAGGGAAACCAAUCAAGUGGUUCAGAAUUCUGAAAUCAAGUCUUCGAUAAUUUAUUCAAUAAUUCUCAUCCACUACAAACUUAUCUAUAUCAAACAAUGUAAGCUUUGAACCAGAUAAUUAUCAUUGUAAUAAUUUUUUAUUCUUUUUGCUUAUCACUUGGGGGGCAACCAACCAGUGUAAUAAUUUAAACACAAUAAGUAAAACUAACCGGAGAUAUCAAGUAGAAGAUGAGAAAAUGUGUUAGCAACCUACUGCUUUACAGUGAUUCGGGCAGCCUGAAAUUAUACAGGGUUUAUCAGAUAUCUUCUCCUAAUACGAGUACAGAGCACUACAAGAUUAUAUUUUGAAUGCGAGACAGAAUACAAAUGCAGGGUGAUACCCAUCUCAAAUACAAUUGAAAAAAAUGACAAGAAAGACCUCCAAAGCAAAAUCAGAAGGGUCCUGUACUUCUCAGAAAUACACAAUUGGUUCGACUAGCGGAUACCAACUAGAAAUACACAAUUUGCUAUAAUACAUAACAGCUCUACAGUUAAUCAUUCAUAUAACAAUUGGUUUCGAUAAAACAAAAAAUUAAUCAACAAUCUCAUAAUUAUUCAAAUGUAUAUGAAAUUGAGGCUGAUUAUACAGCACACAAGCAACAAUUAUGAAAUUACUGAAACAUAAAAAUUACGUUUUACAAAAUAAAAUCUAAAUUGAUCAAAAGUUACCUGAAUUGAAGAGGAUCCGAGGAUUGGAUUGGAGUGAAGAGGGGAAAGAGAUGUAUUUGAGAUCUGUAUUCGAAAUCGCCAGUAGGAUACAGAGGAGAGUUUGGUUUAGAGGAUUCGCUCGAAAUCGGAAUCGCCAAUGGGUUUGGUUUUCGCAGCAGGAGAGAGGCUUUACAGAUUAUCAUAACAGAGGAUGAGGGAGGCUUUACAGAUUAUCGCAGCAGAGGAUGGAGGUUUCGCUCGAAGAAGAAAUCGCAUCAGGGUUUGGUAUCGCAGCAGAGGAUGAGGGAGAUUAUCGCAUCAUCUUCGCAUCAGGGUUUGGUAUCCCAGCAGAGGAUGAGGAAGAUUAUCGCAGCAUUUGGUUUGGUAUCGCAGAAGAGGACGAGGGAGAUUAUCGCAGCAUCUUCUUCGUAUCAAAGAAGAAAUCGCAUGGGGGAAGAAAUCGCUCGCAGAAGAGUCGUACGCUAGUUGAACCGGCGGAUGCAUAGUGGAUAAUUUGCUCUGAAAAUUAUUUUUAAUGCAUUUUUUAAUGCAUCCGCUAGUUGAAUUAGAGGACGUCGCUAUUCC
rnacentral:lncRNA from 1 species